AUGCGGUGCUCAUCUCUCCGGCAAACGUUUCUGCCCUUUCCAUCAGUCCAAAUGGGUUACUCAUCGCCAAGUUUGAUAAUUUGAGAGCAGGUGUCCUCUAUGUCAUCAACGUGAAAACCAUCGAUCAUGGGAAUAACUCCAAUGAUGGGGUAUCUGUGACGCAAAGAACAGACGUUGACGAGUGCAGUGAUGGGAACAACAAAUGCGCUCAGGUAUGCAAUGAGCUGAACCUCUUUGAGAACAGCCAGGGCUACAACUGCAGCUGCUUCGGUGGCUUCAAGAUGCAGCAAGAUGGCAUAAGUUGUCAGCCUAUUGUGAGCUGCACACUGGCCUGUACCAAUGGAAGGUGCUUUAUUGAUCCCAACACAAGAGCCAACCUGCUCCUGUAACAUUGGUUACGUCCUUGAUAAAAGCAAGCAAAACUGCUUAGAUUUGAAUGAAUGUGAAGAACAGCCUAAACCGUGUGAGCAAGAAUGCUCUAACACCAUCGGAAGCUACAAGUGCUCCUGUUCUCCUGGGUUCACGCAGGAUCUCGUUGUUGCUAACAGAUGCAUUGAUGUUGAUGAGUGCCAGAGUAAUCCUUGCACAAAUUCUGGCACCUGUCAAAACAUGGUAAAUAAAUUCUCCUGCCAUUGUACCAGUGGGUGGACCGGUGUCUACUGUGAUGAAGAUGUAAAUGAAUGUGCCUCUAGACCAUGCUCCCAUGGAGGAACCUGUGUCAACACACCGGGCUCCUUCUCUUGCAGAUGUGCACCCGGUUGGAGUGGGACCCUCUGUACACUGCUUGUGGAUGAAUGUGCUUCCAACCCGUGCAUCCACGGCACCUGUGUGGAUCAGGUCAACGCCUUCUUCUGCAGAUGUGACGAGGGGUGGUCGGGCAACACAUGCACUACGA